GACGAACGCUGGCGGCGUGCUUAACACAUGCAAGUCGAACGGAGAGGCCCUUUUGGGGGUACUCGAGUGGCGAACGGGUGAGUAACACGUGAGUAACCUGCCCUCCACUCCGGGAUAACUUCAGGAAAAUGGGGCUAAUAUCGGAGAGGAAUCCUUGCUGCAUGGUGGGGGUUGGAAAGCUUCGGUGGUUUUGGAUGGACUCGCGGCUUAUCCGCUUGUUGGUGGGGUAGUGGCUUACCAAGGCUUUGACGGGUAGCCGGCCUGAGAGGGCGACCGGCCACUUUGGGUCUGAGAUACGGCCCAGUCUCCUGCGGGGGGCAGCAGUGGGGAAUAUUGCACAAUGGGCGGGAGCCUGAUGCAGCAACGCCGCGUGCGGGAGGACGGCCUUCGGGUUGUAAACCUCUUUCAGCAGGGGCGAAGCUUGUGGUGACGGUACCUGCAGAAGAAGCACCGGCUAACUACGUG
rnacentral:rRNA from 1 species